rnacentral:rRNA from 1 species
CCCUUAGAGUUUGAUCCUGGCUCAAGACGAACGCUGGCGGCGUGCUUAACACAUGCAAGUCGAACGGGAGGAAAAGAGAAGCUUGCUUCUUUUUGAAUCUAGUGGCAAACGGGUGAGUAACACGUAAACAACCUGCCUUCAGGAUGGGGACAACAGACGGAAACGACUGCUAAUACCGAAUGUGUUCCGGACACCGCAUGAUUUCCGGAAGAAAGGAUGGCCUCUAUUUAUAAGCUAUCGCCUGAAGAGGGGUUUGCGUCUGAUUAGGCAGUUGGUGAGGUAACGGCCCACCAAACCUACGAUCAGUAGCCGGUCUGAGAGGAUGAACGGCCACACUGGAACUGAGACACGGUCCAGACUCCUACGGGAGGCAGCAGUGGGGAAUCUUCCGCAAUGGACGAAAGUCUGACGGAGCAACGCCGCGUGAGUGAUGACGGCCUUCGGGUUGUAAAGCUCUGUGAUCGGGGACGAAUGGCUGGUAUGCUAAUACCAUAUCAGAGUGACGGUACCCGAAUAGCAAGCCACGGCUAACUACGUGCCAGCAGCCGCGGUAAUACGUAGGUGGCAAGCGUUGUCCGGAAUUAUUGGGCGUAAAGCGCGCGCAGGCGGCUUCUUAAGUCCAUCUUAAAAGUGCGGGGCUUACCCCGUGAUGGGAUGGAAACUGGGAGGCUGGAGUAUCGGAGAGGAAAGUGGAAUUCCUAGUGUAGCGGUGAAAUGCGUAGAGAUUAGGAAGAACACCGGUGGCGAAGGCGACUUUCUGGACGACAACUGACGCUGAGGCGCGAAAGCGUGGGGAGCAAACAGAAUUAGAUACCCUGGUAGUCCACGCCGUAAACGA